rnacentral:lncRNA from 1 species
CAGCCUCCGCCUCCGGCAUUCCGGUCCACCCUCCGGUCUCCACCGGUAAAUUUUUUCAUUUUUUUUUGUUUUUCGACACUCUCCCUCCGCCCCGAUUGUGCGCCGGGCCGACGGUCCGUCGGUCCGCCUUCGUUUCUCGAAAAUCGGAGUCCGGAAGAAGGCCCCUUCCCGAUCCCGUCUUCGUUUUUAGCUUUAGGCCUCCAA